UCGCGGCUUAUCACCGGCAGUCCCCUUAGAGUGCCCAACUGAAUGAUGGCAACUAAGGGCGAGGGUUGCGCUCGUUGCGGGACUUAACCCAACAUCUCACGGCACGAGCUGACGACAGCCGUGCAGCACCUGCGCAGGCUCCCUUGCGGGUCCCUCAGCUUUCGCUUUGGUACCACCUACAUGUCAAGUCCGGGUAAGGUUCUUCGCGUUGCAUCGAAUUAAACCACACGCUCCGCUGCUUGUGCGGGCCCCCGUCAAUUCCUUUGAGUUUUAGCCUUGCGGCCGUACUCCCCAGGCGGGGCGCUUAAUGCGUUAGCUUCGGCACGGACGGAGUCGACACCGCACACACCUAGCGCCCAUCGUUUACGGCGUGGACUAC
rnacentral:misc_RNA from 1 species